AACUCUUCUCUCAAUUUUCCACGUCACUUUUCUCAAUUUUAUGCUCAUGCUACGACGCUUACACUUCUCAAAUUGCAGUUACGUAUCCUCUUUCUCCUAUUCAUUUCACGUUACAAACUUCCUCCAAAUUCUCUUCAUCAAUUCAUUUCACGUUACAAACUUCCAGCGGUUACUACUCUCCACAUUCAUCUUCCCCAAAUUCUAACCCUAAAUCAAAUACUCAGUAUUUCACACAACCUUUCAUCAACCCUCAUCACAACCAUCACCACAAAUUCAUCAUUGGACCGCAACAGAUUCACAACGUGCGGAGCACCGUCAUCGGUAACAAAUCUUCAGCAGCAACGAUUGUAAUCUGAUAUACAACGACAUCAUCAGAAAAUCACGGUUGCGACAUCAGAUUCACGAACAACAAUUUGCUGAUCCGCCAACAAGCUUCCGUUCACACCCUGAUCGAAGCAAUUAUUGGGUUUUGUUUGAAUUUUCAGAUAAGCUCUGUCUGGUGAUAUGAGCAAACUUCUCUUGGCAGCAAAGAAGAUAAGAAGAGCAACAUGUACAUAAUUUUGAUUUUGUUUAUGCUUUGAAUUUCAGAUGGCGAUUCGUUUCAAUUUGGGUUUCUCUGAUUAAGCUAACGGUUCUCCAAUUUGGAGGAACCAUUGGAGUUUAAGAAUUAUGAUGAAAAUCAGUUGAAUGAGGAUAUGCAAGAGGAUCAGAUGAACGAUGUUUCACCUAAAGAGAAUAUGCUUGAAGAUCAAAUAAGUAAUGAGUCGGAGGAUCAAUUCGAUGAGGAUUUUGAUGAGGAUCAACAUCAGUUUGCUGAGGAUAUUCACGAGUAACCAAGGAAUCUGUGCAAAAUGAUUUUCUAGAUCGGAUGAAUGAGGUUUUUAAUGAGUAUACUAGGAAUCUGCACCAGAAUGCAGUUUUUGAGCAUGUUUACCAUUGUUUUUCUGUCUCAUCUCUUAAUAGGGUAGGUCAUUGAAUGCUUCUCGAAUAUAAUGCUUUUAUCAUCAUUUAGAAUCUAAUUGUUAGUAUGGAUCCUCAUUCUAAAACAUUCAAUAAGACUAAUUCUUUCUUCUUUGAUAUUUUUGGCGGUCAAUUCUUGAAAACGGUGAUAAAAUUAUUAAGCCUGCUUCUGCUCUAGAUCGACUCUUGCGUAUGAACAUUGAAUAUCCAAUGUUAUUUGAACUGAAAAAUUCUUCUACUGAUAGAACUACUCACUGCGGAGUUUUGGAGUUCACAACUGACGAAGGGACUGUGUUCUUACCGAAUUGGAUGAUGGAAGAUAUGCUCUUACAGGAUGGAGACACUAUAUCUCUGAAAAACACAAGUCCAUAAAAGGAAAGUUUGUGAAGCUGCAGCCUCACACCAAAGAUUUUUAGAUAUUUCUAAUCCAAAAGCCAUAUAUGAAUUGAAGCAGCCUGCAAGUCGAUGUCUGAGUUAGUGUCGUAUCGUAUCGAUCUGUCAGUGUGUGUAUGUCGUGUUUCCGCUAUCUGUGUUUCAUAGGUUACAACAAAUGUCAAAACUUCUCCCGAUUCUUUGUUCUUUCUCUUUUACUCAUGUUUGUUCAUUUUCAUUAUUGAGUUUCGAACUGCUUCGAUUUUGUUUUUGAUUUAAGAUUUGUUGUUUCAGGUUUGGUGAUGUUGGCUCACGCGGAAGGGGGAAGAUUCGUCGGCGGUGGUGAGAUUUAUGGGUUUGGUUGAAAUCAGUGUUUAUCUUCUUUGUUAUCAUACUUUGCGUCUUUUUCUUUCUCGCAAACUUAAUGUAGCAUUAUGUUGAAUUGGCUGGUACGUUGUAAUUUGGGUUGAAUUGUUGAAUUUUCUGCUACUUGGCUCAUGAAAUGAUGCAUGCUUGGCUUAGACUGCAUCUCUGCUUUUUUGAUGUUGCAGGUUUUGAUGCAAGCUUGGAAAAGGUUGUUGAUUUCGGUCUAUCAAGGUCAGAGCCAUGUUUCCUGAAAAUCAAACAACAAUGCCUGCACAAAUCAGUACCUCUCGGCUGAAAGCGAUGGCCGAAUCGUCUUGCUUCCGAACCAGCAUUGCGGUUAAGUAUUUCUCAGAUGAUUGGCCAACUAAUAGUGAAAAGGAAACUUUUGAGAAGUUUGUAUUCACCAAGACUCAGAAGAUAAGGUUGUAUUAUAGUAAUAAUCAAAAUAGUGCUGCAGAUGCUGGUUUAUCUUUUGUAUGCAAUGAAGACUCUUUAAGAUAAGGUUUUUUUAUAGUAAUAAUCAAAAUACUGCUAUAGAUAUUGUUACUGUUGACUUAUCUAAAAGUGUUCUGAAAAGUGAUCAUUGCCCUGGAUGUCAAAAUUCAAGAUUGCAGAACCGAAAUUUUGCAAAAAGUAAUUUCGAGGAACGAAGAGGGCUUUCGUUGAAAUUCGCUACUACAAAUCCGAAUCACAAUGCUGGAACUACGUCGACGCCACCAUCGAAAGAUAAGUGUUUCUCUAAAAUGUUGCAAGGUAUUUCAAAUUUAACUAUUUGAACUAUUUGAACUUAUCUACUGAAAUAAGCACGCGUGAAAUUGUUUGGAUGAGCUUUUACUAACAAAUUAUGUCCAUAAGCUUUUUCAAAGCUGUUUGGAUGGGCUUUUAAAAACUGAUAGGGACUGAGUUCGUUUGUAUGAAUGUGCAAGGCUGAACAUGGAACUGUUAUGUUAGUCAAAUAAAUGGCAACACAAGAAGUUGAUUCACAAAUUCUGUUGACUAUAGUUGAAGAAUUUAAACAUGUUGUAUCUACUGCAAAGAAGGCAUUUCCAGCAUGACGUAACACUCCGGUUACGACACGUCAACGUGUUAUGUUAAAGCUCCAGGAGCUCAUUUGCAGAGAUACGAUGAGCAUCUUACGACAUUAGACAACGUGGUGCAUUCUUUUGUGAAUAUAGACACCUUUUUUUGUCAUGCUUACUGUUAGUAAUUUUUUAUUAUCUUUUGACUUUGUAUUUGUUUUAGGAUAAACUUGCUUUUAAUGUGACCACUGAACAAGGAAAGACACUGAAGGAUGCACAAGGCGAGAUGUAUUUCGUGGCUUAGGUUGGUCUUUAUCACUUAGGGUGGUCUUUAUCAUAAUUGGAAUGGUUCUUAAAUUGUGUUGUA